rnacentral:rRNA from 1 species
GUACGGAGAUCGAGCCUGGCUAGUCAGUCGUAACAAGGUAGAGUUUGUUCGAGGCUGAGUCAGUCGGACCAAGGUAGGGAGAGAUCGGUCUGGAUUAAUUGAGUAACACCGAGAAACCGGGACUAAUACCGGAUGGUUGUUUGAACCGCAUGGUUCAAACAUAAAAGGUGGCUUCGGCUACCACUUACAGAUGGACCCGCGGCGCAUUAGCUAGUUGGUGAGGUAAUGGCUCACCAAGGCAACGAUGCGUAGCCGACCUGAGAGGGUGAUCGGCCACACUGGGACUGAGACACGGCCCAAACUCCUACGGGAGGCAGCAGUAGGGAAUCUUCCGCAAUGGACGAAAGUCUGACGGAGCAACGCCGCGUGAGUGAUGAAGGUUUUCGGAUCGUAAAGCUCUGUUGUUAGGGAAGAACAAGUACCGUUCGAAUAGGGCGGUGCCUUGACGGUACCUAACCAGAAAGCCACGGCUAACUACGUGCCAGCAGCCGCGGUAAUACGUAGGUGGCAAGCGUUGUCCGGAAUUAUUGGGCGUAAAGGGCUCGCAGGCGGUUUCUUAAGUCUGAUGUGAAAGCCCCCGGCUCAACCGGGGAGGGUCAUUGGAAACUGGGGAACUUGAGUGCAGAAGAGGAGAGUGGAAUUCCACGUGUAGCGGUGAAAUGCGUAGAGAUGUGGAGGAACACCAGUGGCGAAGGCGACUCUCUGGUCUGUAACUGACGCUGAGGAGCGAAAGCGUGGGGAGCGAACAGGAUUAGAUACCCUGGUAGUCCACGCCGUAAACGAUGAGUGCUAAGUGUUAGGGGGUUUCCGCCCCUUAGUGCUGCAGCUAACGCAUUAAGCACUCCGCCUGGGAGUACGGUCGCAGACUGAAACUCAAAGAAUUGACGGGGGCCCGCACAAGCGGUGGAGCAUGUGGUUUAAUUCAAGCACGCGAAGAACCUUACCAGGUCUGACACCUCUGACAAUCCUAGAAAUAGGACGUCCCCUUCGGGAAGAUGACAAGUGGAGAUGGUGUCGUCCCUCCGGGCCGGAGAUGU